UACGUAGGGGGCAAACGUUGUCCGGAUUUAUUGGGCGUAAAGAGCGUGUAGGCGGCUAGAUAGGUCCGUUGUGAAAACUCGAGGCUCAACCUCGAGACGUCGAUGGAAACCAUCUGGCUAGAGUCCGGAAGAGGAGAGUGGAAUUCCUGGUGUAGCGGUGAAAUGCGCAGAUAUCAGGAAGAACACCCGUGGCGAAGGCGGCUCUCUGGUACGUGACUGACGCUGAGACGCGAAAGCGUGGGGAGCAAACAGG
rnacentral:rRNA from 1 species